rnacentral:rRNA from 1 species
UACGGGGGGAGCAAGCGUUGUUCGGAUUUACUGGGCGUAAAGGGCGCGUAGGCGGCCACCGCAAGUCAGUUGUGAAAUCUCCGGGCUUAACCCGGAAAGGUCAACUGAUACUGCGGGGCUAGAGUGCAGAAGGGGCAACUGGAAUUCUCGGUGUAGCGGUGAAAUGCGUAGAUAUCGAGAGGAACACCUGCGGCGAAGGCGGGUUGCUGGGCUGACACUGACGCUGAAGUGCGAAAGCUAGGGGAGCGAA